UACAGAGGGGGCAAGCGUUGUUCGGAAUUACUGGGCGUAAAGGGCGCGUAGGCGGCCUGUUAAGUCGAACGUGAAAUCCCCGGGCUCAACCCGGGAACUGCGUCCGAUACUGGCAGGCUUGAAUUCGGGAGAGGGAUGUGGAAUUCCAGGUGUAGCGGUGAAAUGCGUAGAGAUCGGGAAGAACAUCAGUGGCGAAGGCGGCCUGCUGGGCUGUUGCUGACGCUGAGGCGCGACAGCGUGGGGAGCAAACAGG
rnacentral:rRNA from 1 species